AUUGAACGCUGGCGGCAGGCCUAACACAUGCAAGUCGAACGGUAACAGGAAGAAGCUUGCUUCUUUGCUGACGAGUGGCGGACGGGUGAGUAAUGUCUGGGAAACUGCCUGAUGGAGGGGGAUAACUACUGGAAACGGUAGCUAAUACCGCAUAACGUCGCAAGACCAAAGAGGGGGACCUUCGGGCCUCUUGCCAUCGGAUGUGCCCAGAUGGGAUUAGCUAGUAGGUGGGGUAACGGCUCACCUAGGCGACGAUCCCUAGCUGGUCUGAGAGGAUGACCAGCCACACUGGAACUGAGACACGGUCCAGACUCCUACGGGAGGCAGCAGUGGGGAAUAUUGCACAAUGGGCGCAAGCCUGAUGCAGCCAUGCCGCGUGUAUGAAGAAGGCCUUCGGGUUGUAAAGUACUUUCAGCGGGGAGGAAGGGAGUAAAGUUAAUACCUUUGCUCAUUGUCGUUACCCGCAGAAGAAGCACCGGCUAACUCCGUG
rnacentral:rRNA from 1 species